CAGGAAUUAACAUAUUAAAUGUAUUUCAUUUACAUUGAGAAAAUAAUUAAAAUUUAAUUAUUCUUGA
rnacentral:tRNA from 1 species